AGAAGAAGACAGUAGAAAUAUAAAUUAAAAGAGGGAAAGACCAGUGCGAAACGAAGAAGAAGAAAAAUGGCGACCUGUGACAUGGUGGUGACCUGGGAAUCGAGCAUAAAUUGCAAGGGUAUAAGGUUGUGUUGGUGCCGCUUGGGAAGUUGGAGCAUAAGGGGGGAGCGGAGGUUGGAGAGGAAUCUGUGAACAUGGUUUACCAUCUAGUACAAUUACAUUGUAUGGUUCUAAGGAUGAUAUAUUGACAUGCUAGUCUUGCUAGAUACCAAUUUGUAAGUAGUUGCACUAUCGGUUGAAAAUUGUAUUCUACUUGUAUUUUUUGUAUGAAAUCAGCUAUGCCAGGUGUAGCCAAAUUCAAUUUUAUUCUUAAAAUGCAAGCAUGUGCAGCUUAAUCAACAUUCAAUACAACUUAAGUUGUUCUCAUUUUGGUAAUGGAGGCUACACAUUCGAGUUCAAGUUUUAACAA